rnacentral:rRNA from 1 species
GGCUAAAAGUCGGAGGAAGUGGGGAUGACGUCAAAUCAUCAUGCCCCUUAUGACCUGGGCUACACACGUGCUACAAUGGGCGGUACAAAGGGUCGCGAACCCGCAGGGGAGCCAAUCCCAAAAAGCCGCUCUCAGUUCGGAUUGCAGGCUGCAACUCGCCUGCAUGAAGCCGGAAUCGCUAGUAAUCGCGGAUCAGCAUGCCCGCGGUCGAAUACGUUCCGGGCCUU